UACGUAGGGUGCAAGCGUUAAUCGGAAUUACUGGGCGUAAAGCGUGCGCAGGCGGUUUGCUAAGACAGGUGUGAAAUCCCCGGGCUUAACCUGGGAACUGCGCUUGUAACUGGCAAGCUAGAGUGUGGCAGAGGGGGGUGGAAUUCCACGUGUAGCAGUGAAAUGCGCAGAUAUCAGGAAGAACACCCGUGGCGAAAGCGGCUCUCUGGGACGGUACUGACGCUGAGACGCGAAAGCGUGGGGAGCGAACAGG
rnacentral:rRNA from 1 species